GAUGAACGCUAGCGACAGGCCUAACACAUGCAAGUCGAGGGGUAACAUGAGAGCUUGCUCUUGAUGACGACCGGCGCACGGGUGAGUAACGCGUAUGCAACCUUCCUUUAACUGGAGAAUAGCCCCCGGAAACGGGGAUUAAUGCUCCAUGGCACUCUGAAUACGCCUGUAUUAAGAGUUAAAGUUCCGACGGUUAAAGAUGGGCAUGCGUGACAUUAGCUAGUUGGCGGGGUAACGGCCCACCAAGGCAACGAUGUCUAGGGGUUCUGAGAGGAAGGUCCCCCACACUGGUACUGAGACACGGACCAGACUCCUACGGGAGGCAGCAGUGAGGAAUAUUGGUCAAUGGACGCAAGUCUGAACCAGCCAUGUCGCGUGCAGGAUGACUGCCCUAUGGGUUGUAAACUGCUUUUAUACGGGAAGAAAGGUAUCUACGUGUAGAUAUUUGCCGGUACCGUACGAAUAAGCAUCGGCUAACUCCGUGCCAGCAGCCGCGGUAAUACGGAGGAUGCGAGCGUUAUCCGGAUUUAUUGGGUUUAAAGGGUGCGUAGGCGGAAUGGUAAGUCAGCGGUGAAAUACUGCAGCUCAACUGUAGAACCGCCGUUGAUACUGUCAUUCUUGAGUAUAGAUGAGGUAGGCGGAAUGAGUAGUGUAGCGGUGAAAUGCAUAGAUAUUACUCAGAACACCAAUUGCGAAGGCAGCUUACUAAACUAUAACUGACGCUGAAGCACGAAAGCGUGGGUAUCAAACAGGAUUAGAUACCCUGGUAGUCCACGCCGUAAACGAUGAUUACUGGUUGUUUGCGAUACACAGUAAGCGACUGAGCGAAAGCAUUAAGUAAUCCACCUGGGGAGUACGUUGGCAACAAUGAAACUCAAAGGAAUUGACGGGGGCCCGCACAAGCGGUGGAACAUGUGGUUUAAUUCGAUGAUACGCGAGGAACCUUACCUGGGCUUAAAUGGGGAGUGACAGGGGUAGAAAUACCCUUUUCUUCGGACACUCUUCAAGGUGCUGCAUGGUUGUCGUCAGCUCGUGCCGUGAGGUGUCGGGUUAAGUCCCAUAACGAGCGCAACCCCUGUUGUCAAGUUACCAGCACGU
rnacentral:rRNA from 1 species